rnacentral:rRNA from 1 species
UACGUAGGGCGCAAGCGUUAUCCGGAAUUAUUGGGCGUAAAGAGCUCGUAGGCGGUUUGUCGCGUUGUUCGUGAAAACCGGGGGCUUAACCCUCGGCGUGCGGGCGAUACGGGCAGACUUGAGUACUGCAGGGGAGACUGGAAUUCCUGGUGUAGCGGUGGAAUGCGCAGAUAUCAGGAAGAACACCGGUGGCGAAGGCGGGUCUCUGGGCAGUAACUGACGCUGAGGAGCGAAAGCGUGGGGAGCGAACAGG